rnacentral:rRNA from 1 species
UCGAGAAUCUUCGGCAAUGGGCGCAAGCCUGACCGAGCGACGCUGCGUGCGGGAUGAAGGCCCUUGGGUUGUAAACCGCUGUCAGAGGGGAUGAAAGCGUAAGCUUGACAGAGCCUCAGAGGAAGCACGGGCUAAGUUCGUGCCAGCAGCCGCGGUAAUACGAACUGUGCGAACGUUAUUCGGAAUCACUGGGCUUACAGGGUGCGUAGGCGGCCCAUCAGGUCAGAUGUGAAAUCCCACAGCUCAACUGUGGAACUGCAUUUGAAACCGGUGGGCUUGAGUGAACUAGAGGCAUGCGGAACUUCCGGUGGAGCGGUGAAAUGUGUUGAUAUCGGAAGGAACACCAGAGGCGAAAGCGGCAUGCUGGAGUUUGUCUGACGCUGAGGCACGAAAGCCAGGGGAGCGAACGGGAUUAGAUACCCCCGUAGUCC